rnacentral:rRNA from 1 species
GCAGUCGAGCGGUAGAGAGGUGCUUGCACCUCUUGAGAGCGGCGGACGGGUGAGUAAAGCCUAGGAAUCUGCCUGGUAGUGGGGGAUAACGCUCGGAAACGGACGCUAAUACCGCAUACGUCCUACGGGAGAAAGCAGGGGACCUUCGGGCCUUGCGCUAUCAGAUGAGCCUAGGUCGGAUUAGCUAGUUGGUGAGGUAAUGGCUCACCAAGGCGACGAUCCGUAACUGGUCUGAGAGGAUGAUCAGUCACACUGGAACUGAGACACGGUCCAGACUCCUACGGGAGGUAGCAGUGGGGAAUAUUGGACAAUGGGCGAAAGCCUGAUCCAGCCAUGCCGCGUGUGUGAAGAAGGUCUUCGGAUUGUAAAGCACUUUAAGUUGGGAGGAAGGGCAUUAACCUAAUACGUUAGUGUUUUGACGUUACCGACGGAAUAAGCACCGGCUAACUCUGUGCCAGCAGCCGCGGUAAUACAGAGGGUGCAAGCGUUAAUCGGAAUUACUGGGCGUAAAGCGCGCGUAGGUGGUUCGUUAAGUUGGAUGUGAAAUCCCCGGGCUCAACCUGGGAACUGCAUUCAAAACUGUCGAGCUAGAGUAUG